rnacentral:misc_RNA from 1 species
UUUUGGCUAUUGGCAGCUAUCCUGGCAUUUGAGCUUGGUAUGUGGCUAUUAGUUGUGUGGUUUUGGGGAUGUUUACCGAAAAGGUGCACGAGUGGUGUUUGGUUUGUUACGGGUGGUUGGCUCUUUGCUUGCGCCACAACUUCCACCUGGCAUACCUCUUCAGUCUUGUGUCAAUGCUUGUAUAGCAUUGAAUGCAUGAUUAGUUUCUGUGUUGCGUUCCUAUAUGAAGGUAUCAUUUGAUGAAUUGAUAUUGAUUUUCCUCUUGUGUUGCACAUGCGAUGCGAGAUGAACCUUGAAGCGGCCUUUGUGAUCCACUCUUUUGAUGUACACGCAUUGAUUUUGUGGCCCACUGAGUGUUGCUUGGUUUCAUGGAUAUGGUUUUUGUGUGGGCAUGGGAUCUUUUACUAGUUCCUUGUUUGCCCUAGUUAGCUUUUCAAAUAUGAUAUCCUAUCAUGUGUAAAUGUGGUAGGCUAUGUCGAAUAUGAAUG